CACAUGGCUCUCGGUCCCGGGACUCUCCCUCUUCCUUCCCGCCCCUCGGUGCCUGUUUUGGGGCUCCCAAACACUCCUCCAGCCACUCGUGUUUUCCCUUCAGUUCGGUCCAUCGCGCGAUGUGAGCCCGAGUUUCCCAUCCCUCCUCCUCGCUCUGCUCCGGGGGGUGCUAAAACCCCUCUGACUCGGCGUGGUCCAGGGCUUGCCCACCCCUCUUUGCCUCCUGUCAGUGGGUUUUCUCCAGGCUGGAAGAAGAGGUGGCCCAGCAGGAGCCUUUUGCUGCUGAGCCCAUCUCCAUGUGGGGCGAGGAGUCCCUAGGAGCCCCCCGGGGGGUUUGGGGAGAGCUGGGUGUGAAUCAAAAGGAGACAGUGACCCUGAGGACAUCAUCCUGGUGACAGGUGCUCCCUUCCCAACCUGCCCUCGGCAAGUGCCCAAGAGCAUGGAGCGGGCACACGGGCUUGCCAGGGAUCCUGGCAGGGUUGGCAGGAGCGCUUGGGACGGGGAGCAGUCCCUGGGAGGCAAUGAACCUCAGGACACGGCCCUGAGGCUUGAGGGUGGCCUGUCCCAAUCAGAGAAAUAAUCUGAAAUUUCUUCCUGUAUUACACCUAUUCCAGUAUGCCUUGAGCCUCGGGAAAAGCUUGCGGUCUCCAGCGUAGUUAAGAAAACUUUUGAGUUGUGUAAAGGCAAGAUGUUGGAGGACAGUUCAUCCUCACAAUCACAUAUGUAAACAUUCCCAAAGCUGUAGAAGAUGACAUAUGUAAAUCCCUCAUUAAUUAAAUCUACCUAACAGUCAAAACCAGUAAAGAAGAAAGAAACCUCUUCAUUUUUUACAUUUUAUAUUUACAGUUUCUUAGAUUUCCAAAACACGGCCUUCUUGCUGUGUAAACUUUUAUUAGGGGUUUAUAAUGAAAGUCAUCAUUGCUCAAACUGAAAACCUCUAAAUAUGGAGUAAAGAGAAUAUUUUGUAUAGCUCACUGUCCGUGCCACAAGUUUUUCUUCUAAAGCCAGUGAGAAUGGCUUUUAUUCAACUUUUUCAGCUCAGCAAGGUGUUUUUAAACCAGUUAUCUCUGUAUCUGGUUGUAUUUUUAAAGAAGUUUCUUUGAAAGAGCAAGUUGAGAAACCCAGUUGUAGAUGACAGCAAUCUAUGGCAGAAGUCAAAUAAUCAAAAUCAAUGGAUGCCCUUGAAUGGUUCUGAUGCAGUGCUCCAAAAUGGAUUGUUAUUUUGACACCAACAUUGCAGACUUCUCUGUUACUCUUAUGAACAUUUGGUAACUUUAAAAAUAGUUUCAAAUCUUAGUAAUGCAAGAAGAAGAAAAAA